rnacentral:rRNA from 1 species
UACGUAGGGUGCGAGCGUUGUCCGGAAUUAUUGGGCGUAAAGGGCUCGUAGGCGGUCUGUCACGUCGGGAGUGAAAACUCAGGGCUUAACCCUGAGCCUGCUUCCGAUACGGGCGGACUGGAGUUCGGCAGGGGAGACUGGAAUUCCUGGUGUAGCGGUGAAAUGCGCAGAUAUCAGGAGGAACACCAGUGGCGAAGGCGGCUAACUGGUCCGAUACUGACGCUGAGGUGCGAAAGCGUGGGGAGCAAACAGG